AGCUUGCUCCUGGAUUUAGCGGCGGACGGGUGAGUAAUGCUUAGGAAUCUGCCUAUUAGUGGGGGACAACGUUUCGAAAGGAACGCUAAUACCGCAUACGUCCUACGGGAGAAAGCAGGGGAUCUUUGGACCUUGCGCUAAUAGAUGAGCCUAAGUCGGAUUAGCUAGUUGGUGGGGUAAAGGCCUACCAAGGCGACGAUCUGUAGCGGGUCUGAGAGGAUGAUCCGCCACACUGGGACUGAGACACGGCCCAGACUCCUACGGGAGGCAGCAGUGGGGAAUAUUGGACAAUGGGGGGAACCCUGAUCCAGCCAUGCCGCGUGUGUGAAGAAGGCCUUUUGGUUGUAAAGCACUUUAAGCGAGGAGGAGGCUUCUUUGGUUAAUACCCAAAGUAAGUGGACGUUACUCGCAGAAUAAGCACCGGCUAACUCUGUGCCAGCAGCCGCGGUAAUACAGAGGGUGCAAGCGUUAAUCGGAUUUACUGGGCGUAAAGCGUGCGUAGGCGGCUAAUUAAGUCAAAUGUGAAAUCCCCGAGCUUAACUUGGGAAUUGCAUUCGAUACUGGUUAGCUAGAGUAUGGGAGAGGAUGGUAGAAUUCCAGGUGUAGCGGUGAAAUGCGUAGAGAUCUGGAGGAAUACCGAUGGCGAAGGCAGCCAUCUGGCCUAAUACUGACGCUGAGGUACGAAAGCAUGGGGAGCAAACAGGAUUAGAUACCCUGGUAGUCCAUGCCGUAAACGAUGUCUACUAGCCCGUUGGGGUCUUUGAGACCUUAGUGGCGCAGCUAACGCGAUAAGUAGACCGCCUG
rnacentral:rRNA from 1 species